rnacentral:rRNA from 1 species
CCCUUAGUGACGAAGCUAACGCGUGAAGUUGACCGCCUGGGGAGUACGGUCGCAAGAUUAAAACUCAAAGGAAUUGACGGGGACCCGCACAAGCGGUGGAUGAUGUGGAUUAAUUCGAUGCAACGCGAAAAACCUUACCUACCCUUGACAUGUCCGGAAUCCUGCAGAGAUGCGGGAGUGCCCGAAAGGGAAUCGGAACACAGGUGCUGCAUGGCUGUCGUCAGCUCGUGUCGUGAGAUGUUGGGUUAAGUCCCGCAACGAGCGCAACCCUUAUCAUUAGUUGCUACGCAAGGGCACUCUAAUGAGACUGCCGGUGACAAACCGGAGGAAGGUGGGGAUGACGUCAAGUCCUCAUGGCCCUUAUGGGUAGGGCUUCACACGUCAUACAAUGGUCGGUACAGAGGGUUGCCAAGCCGCGAGGUGGAGCCAAUCCCAGAAAGCCGAUCGUAGUCCGGAUUGUUCUCUGCAACUCGAGAGCAUGAAGUCGGAAUCGCUAGUAAUCGCGGAUCAGCAUGUCGCGGUGAAUACGUUCCCGGGUCUUGUACACACCGCCCGUCACACCAUGGGAGUGGAAUCUGGCAGAAGUAGGUAGCCUAACCGCAAGGAGGGCGCUUACCACGCUGGGUUUCAUGACUGGGGUGAAGU